GGGGAAGAGGGCUAUGGCCGGAGCUUGAGAUACGCCGCUCUGAAUCUUGCCGCCCUGCACUGCCGCUUCGGUCACUAUCAACAGGCAGAGCUCGCCCUGCAGGAGGCAAUUAGGAUUGCCCAGGAGUCCAACGAUCACGUGUGUCUCCAGCACUGUUUGAGCUGGCUUUAUGUGCUGGGGCAGAAGAGAUCCGAUAGCUAUGUUCUGCUGGAGCAUUCUGUGAAGAAGGCAGUACAUUUUGGGUUACCGUACCUCGCCUCCCUGGGAAUACAGUCCCUUGUUCAACAGAGAGCUUUUGCUGGGAAGACGGCAAACAAGCUGAUGGAUGCCCUAAAGGACUCCGACCUCCUGCACUGGAAACACAGCCUGUCAGAGCUCAUCGAUAUCAGCAUCGCACAGAAAACGGCCAUCUGGAGGCUGUAUGGCCGCAGGUAGGUCUCCCAAGGCCCUGGGGGUGUGAAUUCUUUAGAGAGAAGCAGGAGCUAGCAAGCUGGUUCUGUGAAAGGCCAUACAUACAAGAUUUACCUGCCUUGGAUAGAUGUUGUUCCUGCAGGGGAUUAGACAAAAUGUUUUAUAGUCUAAAACAUUUUGUAUUUUGCACAGACUGAAAACUUUUUUCCCAUGCAUGUUCCUUCUUACUCCUCCCAGCCACUUUGUGAGGUAAUGGGUGGGUGAUCUCCAUGCUGGGAGAGUAAACCAGGGUUCACACAUCUGAUCUACCCGCGAUCGCAAACGCAGUUAACAAGUGACAGAGAAAGGACUCAAACCCACGUCAUCUGACUCCAAGCACCGGGCUCCUCUGCUCUGUGACAGGAACCUUUCUUCCUGUUUAUAGGAGGCAUGAUCCAUGGUUGCUCUAGUUGAGUGUCACCUGAACCCCAAAACUAUUGUGUAAAGAAAGUUGCUUUUCUGUUAACUGAGGUGUUUUCUGUGGAUUAUUUUCAUCUUAUUGUGUACUUUCACAUUUAGCCACUUUUAGCCUGGAAGUAAACUUUGUUGCCGCAUUUUAAUCCUGGAGUUCUGUCGCUACCUCACCCCUCACUUAGACAGUCUGUUUCUAGGAAUUCAGUAAUGAAAGGAAGUGCCUUUUUUACCAGUCUUGUUUUUGUAUUUCAGAUAAUUUUUUGGCACGGUGUGCUCUGAAACAGCUGCAGACACUGGCCACUGCUUACAUUGCCAGAGCAGCCUGUGCCAGGAUGGCAUCGGGUCUGAAUUCACCCGUGAAAACUAAUUAACAUACUAUGACUGCAGGGAACAUGGGGUGGGGGCGGGGGGAUCUGGGAGCGUGUACUCCCAGCUGUGCCCUAACCACUACGUGUCUCCUCGCGCUGCACAUCCAGGAUGCUUUUCUGCCUUUCUUAUCCUGAGGGCAAGGUUGCUGGCACUGGGAGGCAUCUGCUCCCAAGAAAGCCAGAGCCUGUGAGGUGUAUGACUUUACGCCUCCACUCAAGAUAGCUGACGGGCAUGGCCAAAGCGCAGCCAGGUCUGCUGCUGAAAGGAAAUCCUGUUCCCUCUCCCCACCCAGCACCAUGGCACUGCAACAGGCCCAGAUGUUGCUGAGCAUGAACAGCCUGGAGGCGGUGAAUGCGGGCGUGCAGCAGAACAACACGGAGUCCUUUGCUGUUGCACUCUGCCACCUCGCAGAGCUACACGCGGAGCAGGGCUGUUUUGCUGCAGCUUCUGAAGUGUUAAAGCACUUGAAGGAACGAUUUCCGCCUAAUAGUCAGCACGCCCAGUUAUGGAUGCUAUGUGAUCAAAAAAUACAGUUUGACAGAGCAAUGAAUGAUGGCAAAUAUCAUUUGGCUGAUUCACUUGUUACAGGAAUCACAGCUCUCAAUAGCAUAGAGGGUGUUUAUAGGAAAGCGGUUGUAUUACAAGCUCAGAACCAAAUGUCAGAGGCACAUAAGCUUUUACAAAAAUUGUUGGUUCAUUGUCAGAAACUGAAGAACACAGAAAUGGUGAUCAGGUAAGGGGUCUCUUGUGCAUCUCACGGAGAUGUGGUGGUGGAUCUUCUCAUCCUGUGUUUUCCUCUUUACGGUCAGUGUCCUACUGUCCGUGGCAGAGCUGUACUGGCGAUCUUCCUCCCCUACCAUCGCGCUGCCCAUGCUCCUGCAGGCUCUGGCCCUCUCCAAGGAGUACCGGUUACAGUACUUGGCCUCUGAAACAGUGCUGAACUUGGCUUUUGCGCAGCUCAUUCUUGGAAUCCCAGAACAGGCCUUAAGUCUUCUCCACAUGGCCAUCGAGCCCAUCUUGGCUGACGGGGCUAUCCUGGACAAAGGUCGUGCCAUGUUCUUAGUGGCCAAGUGCCAGGUGGCUUCAGCAGCUUCCUAUGAUCAGCCGAAGAAAGCAGAAGCUCUGGAGGCUGCCAUCGAGAACCUCAAUGAAGCCAAGAACUAUUUUGCAAAGGUUGACUGCAAAGAGCGAAUCAGGGACGUCGUUUACUUCCAGGCCAGACUCUACCAUACCCUGGGGAAGACCCAGGAGAGGAACCGGUGUGCGAUGCUCUUCCGGCAGCUGCAUCAGGAACUGCCCUCUCAUGGGGUACCCUUGAUAAACCAUCUCUAGAGAGGACAUCCCUGCUGGGCUGCUGUGCAGAGUAUAAGAUUUUGGACUUGUUCAUGUCCCCUCUCUCCCUUUAAAUGAUGUAUUUGUGACACCCUAUCUUGUCAAUAAACAGCAUUCUGAUUAGUUUGUCUUAUUUUGUUGCUAGUAA
rnacentral:sRNA from 1 species